rnacentral:rRNA from 1 species
GACGAACGCUGGCGGCGUGCCUAAUACAUGCAAGUCGAACGCACGAAGUUGAAGAGCUUGCUCUUUAACCAAGUGAGUGGCGGACGGGUGAGUAACACGUGGGUAACCUGCCCAUUAGAGGGGGAUAACAUUCGGAAACGGAUGCUAAUACCGCAUAGUUUCAGGGAUCGCAUGAUUCUUGAAGGAAAGGUGGCUCCGGCUACCACUAAUGGAUGGACCCGCGGCGUAUUAGCUAGUUGGUGAGGUAAUGGCUCACCAAGGCAAUGAUACGUAGCCGACCUGAGAGGGUGAUCGGCCACACUGGGACUGAGACACGGCCCAGACUCCUACGGGAGGCAGCAGUAGGGAAUCUUCCGCAAUGGACGAAAGUCUGACGGAGCAACGCCGCGUGAGUGAAGAAGGUUUUCGGAUCGUAAAACUCUGUUGUUAAAGAAGAACAAGGAUGAGAGUAACUGCUCAUCCCCUGACGGUAUUUAACCAGAAAGCCACGGCUAACUACGUGCCAGCAGCCGCGGUAAUACGUAGGUGGCAAGCGUUGUCCGGAUUUAUUGGGCGUAAAGCGAGCGCAGGCGGUUCUUUAAGUCUGAUGUGAAAGCCCCCGGCUCAACCGGGGAAGGUCAUUGGAAACUGGAGAACUUGAGUGCAGAAGAGGAGAGUGGAAUUCCACGUGUAGCGGUGAAAUGCGUAGAUAUGUGGAGGAACACCAGUGGCGAAGGCGACUCUCUGGUCUGUAACUGACGCUGAGGCUCGAAAGCGUGGGGGAGCGAACAGG